UCGCGAUUCUUUCAACGUUUACACGGUGUUAAUUUUGUUGGUAUUACUUGUGCGGUUUCAUCUUGGUCUAGUAAGGGAGGUGGGAGUACUAUCAGUCUAUCACUCAACAGCUUCUAAAAAACACCCCAUCAUGGAAGGUUGUUGAUAUAGUAUUGACGAUCUUAUUGGAGACAAGGAUUUCUAAAUGGAAAGCUCUUAGAUCGUAUAUGAGUAAGGUAAUAAAUAAAGUCUGGAUAACUUGCGGAGCAGAAAAGAG